rnacentral:lncRNA from 1 species
CCAUGAGGUACUGUCCUUCCAGUAUGUUUUGGCCACAUUUUUUUUACAACAGAAUCUCUCUUCAAAGGUAUUAGGAACAUAUCAGAUACAUACAUUUUACACAUUUCAAGACCAUUCUCUUACAGCUUGCCCUCAAAGACCUCCAUCCUCAAUAGUAAAAGACUCCAGACUUCCAAGAUUGGUAAUCAUAAACAAAUCAAGAGUGCUUAAGGCAUUUUGAAUGAGGCUAGACAUGUAAUGGAAGCCUCAUUUUUUCCUCUCACAUAUGCCAGGCUUACUCUGUGGCUAGCAGAAAAUUAGUAACUAGGACUAUGUUUCAUUUUCCCAUUUGUAGAACCCCCCAAACCAUCCAGGUACUUUCUCAGAGACUCCAGCAGUUGUGACCAGUGUUUUAAUCUCUGCAGAGGUGGUAUAUAGGAACUAUUGAGUCGGCCUGAACCACUGAUUGAGCACCUGGGGAAAGGACUGGGUCAGCCGUGGGAGCACAGGUGGAGGCAAUUCAGCUGCAUGACCAGAAGGGUUGGAGCCUGGCUGCACCUCUCUUAGACCUCAUUUAAGGGUUAACUGCCACUGGGGAAGGCCCUCUGGUUAGAGAUCCCUCCUUUGUGGGGUCAUUUCUGUGAGCCUAGGCCUUUGGAGAUGGGUGAGCACUUUUACUUUUCCUGUGAAAUACCAUCCUAUCUGUGCUGGUCCCUUUGCUGUUACGUUCCUGUAUUGCCCUUCCAACAUGUUAAUCUUUCUAAUUGUAACAGGUGGCAAGACAAACAUUUCACCUGAUGGAAAUCCUCAGAAGCUGGUUAGCACUAACAGAGAAGGAUUUGAGACAGCAUCAGAUACUGAAUUAUACUGCUCUUUGAUCUGCAAACUCCAACCACGUAGACUGGUCAGAAGAGAUGCUGUGCAUGAGAAGGAUGCAGUGAGCUUGGAUGGCUCCACCUCACCACCACUGCAAGCAACGGCCAUGAGUGGUUAUGAGCACCCUGGGCAUCCUGAUCCUGUUCUUCCCAUUUCUGUCAUUGGUUGGUGCUCCUGGCUCUACACAACCCUACAACAUUUGGAUAGAGUCAACCCUGAGAAUCUACAUGGACAAGCUAGAGCCCACUGACCUUUCUUAGGACUUUUCUCAGAGCACACAGAAACAUCCUUGGCCUUCAGGUUUUGGAUAUUUUUCUCCUCUCCCUUCAGACAACUGUGGAACUUGCCCUAAAGUGGUUUCAGGGGCACAUGCUUGCAUAAGAGCAGUAUGGAUGGGAGACAUCUCCAAAUUUGUGCAUUUUCCAUUUUGUGACUUAUUUAUCAGAGAAUUAGAGUUGCAGUAGAAGAGGCUCCAUACUGUUUUAUAGCUCAGUAUUUUUCAACAAAUUUGUUGUGAUCCCCAUAGCACCACGCAAGGCAACCAAGAGGGUUGUGAUAUGUUGAAACAUUUAUUACACCAUAAAAUAAACUAAGUUCUGCUCCUUGGCCCUCCCCA